UAGCUUAGUUGGUUAAGCAUCUGACUUUGACUCAGGUCAUGAUCUCACUACUUAUGGGUUUGAGCCCCAU
rnacentral:tRNA from 1 species